rnacentral:tRNA from 1 species
GGAGGGAUGACAGAGUGGCCGAUUGUGCUGGUCUCGAAAACCAGUGUAGGGCAACCUACCGGGGGUUCGAAUCCCCCUCCCUCCG